UUUCCGUAGGUGAACCUGCGGAAGGAUCAUUACUGAGUGAGGGCCCGCUGGGUCCAACCUCCCACCCGUGUUUAUUGUACCUUGUUGCUUCGGUGAGCCCGCCUCACGGCCGCCGGGGGGCAUCUGCCCCCGGGCCCGCGCUCGCCGAAGACCCUCUUGAACACUGUCUGAAGUUUGCAGUCUGAGCGAAAACUAAAUAAGUUAAAACUUUCAACAACGGAUCUCUUGGUUCCG
rnacentral:misc_RNA from 1 species